CAUCAGGCAAUGCUUCUUGUGAAUAGCAAACUCAAAUUUUGUGAGUCUUUUUUAUAGGGCAGGGCAGCUCUCACCGACAUCUCUAAUCUUGUCUCAUCGAUUGGACUCCAGGGUCGGCGUAUACCCUUGAAGAAGUCUGGCAUCCACAUGGGCAGAACCACCGCUUCUCUCAACAGCUUCUUAGCAUCCUCCAGUAGUCCGUUAGACGGUGCUGUUACCAUGGCCGCGGAGAGACGCCGUGUGGAGAAUGACGAUCAUAUGGGGGAAGAGGAGGAAGAGGCGGGGCCGCUGGAGUUCGUGGAUGACAUCAGUCAACAUCAAGAACAGAACAGACUGUCAAAAUAUAAUGACAUGGGUAUGCUUACAGAAUUUUCACUAAAUUGUCUGGAUUAAAUGGUUUAAUCGAAGCUGGAGGGUAAACAAUGCAUUCUUUAUACAUCUUUGUUCUAGACUAGAGAGAGAGCAAGACAAAAAUAAUGGUGUUCCAAAAAAGGUCCAGUUGCCAGAACCACAAAUACAAAAUUCCAUCUAGACACCGUUUCCCUAGAGCUUGGUGAGGUCUGGGUUCCACUCACCAACCAAUAAUUCACAAAAUGGGACAAACACCAGAAUUCUGCAAAAAUAUCCUCUGUGUACAGUG